rnacentral:rRNA from 1 species
AUACUCUAUACUCCUGCUUAACACAAGUUGAGUAGGGAAAGUUUUUCGGUGUAGGAUGAGACUAUAUAGUAUCAGCUAGUUGGUAAGGUAAUGGCUUACCAAGGCUAUGACGCUUAACUGGUCUGAGAGGAUGAUCAGUCACACUGGAACUGAGACACGGUCCAGACUCCUACGGGAGGCAGCAGUAGGGAAUAUUGCGCAAUGGGGGAAACCCUGACGCAGCAACGCCGCGUGGAGGAUGACACUUUUCGGAGCGUAAACUCCUUUUCUUAGGGAAGAAUUCUGACGGUACCUAAGGAAUAAGCACCGGCUAACUCCGUGCCAGCAGCCGCGGUAAUACGGAGGGUGCAAGCGUUACUCGGAAUCACUGGGCGUAAAGGGCGCGUAGGCGGAUUAUCAAGUCUCUUGUGAAAUCUAAUGGCUUAACCAUUAAACUGCUUGGGAAACUGAUAGUCUAGAGUGAGGGAGAGGCAGAUGGAAUUGGUGGUGUAGGGGUAAAAUCCGUAGAUAUCACCAAGAAUACCCAUUGCGAAGGCGAUCUGCUGGAACUCAACUGACGCUAAGGCGCGAAAGCGUGGGGAGCAAACAGGAUUAGAUACCCUGGUAGUCCACGCCCUAAACGAUGUACACUAGUUGUUGGGGUGCUAGUCAUCUCAGUAAUGCAGCUAACGCAUUAAGUGUACCGCCUGGGGAGUACGGUCGCAAGAUUAAAACUCAAAGGAAUAGACGGGGACCCGCACAAGCGGUGGAGCAUGUGGUUUAAUUCGAGGAUACGCGAAGAACCUUACCUGGGCUUGAUAUCCUAAGAACCUUUUAGAGAUAAGAGGGUGCUAGCUUGCUAGAACUUAGAGACAGGUGCUGCACGGCUGUCGUCAGCUCGUGUCGUGAGAUGUUGGGUUAAGUCCCGCAACGAGCGCAACCCACGUAUUUAGUUGCUAACGGUUCGGCCGAGCACUCUAAAUAGACUGCCUUCGUAAGGAGGAGGAAGGUGUGGACGACGUCAAGUCAUCAUGGCCCUUAUGCCCAGGGCGACACACGUGCUACAAUGGCAUAUACAAUGAGACGCAAUACCGCGAGGUGGAGCAAAUCUAUAAAAUAUGUCCCAGUUCGGAUUGUUCUCUGCAACUCGAGAGCAUGAAGCCGGAAUCGCUAGUAAUCGUAGAUCAGCCAUGCUACGGUGAAUACGUUCCCGGGUCUUGUACUCACCGCCCGUCACACCAUGGGAGUUGAUUUCACUCGAAGCCGGAAUACUAAACUAGUUACCGUCCACAGUGGAAUCAGCGACUGGGGUGAAGUCGUAACAAGGUAACCGUAGGAGAACCUGCGGUUGGAUCACCUCCUUUCUA